ensembl:lncRNA novel transcript, antisense to CBLN1
GCCUCCCUCGGCCCUCCUGCCCGCCCCCACUCGUCGGCCCUCAGCUCAGAGACCUAAUAGGAUGGGGUCUUAGAGAAACAUCUUUUGAGCCACAGACUUCUUUGUUACCAGAAGGAAAAUGAAAGAAGAAAUUUAAAUACCACUUGAAGAGAGAGAGUGUGAAGAAAUGACCCUGAAAAGCCUCUGGCAGAGGAUUCUUCUUUCAGGAUGGUGUCGCCUCCUCAGCAGCCCAUCCUCCUCCCCUGGACUCAAGCUCUCAUUCCAGUAACACUCCUUCCUCCUUCUCCAUCUUCAGGGGGAGGUUUGCCAGUCGGUGCUGCCCAGUUCAUGAGUGCUGCUGCUGUCCUGCCCAAGUACCCAGCUUGCAGAGUGCCAGAGUUAGAGUCCCAGGGGUGUUCUCCACAGCUGCAUGCUUGAUCCAGGCCUAUCAGCAUUGUCUUUGAAUAUUAGCAAAUAAUGGAACAUGGGCCAAGGGUGAACCAUGACGAAUUUGUGUUCCAGCAGCCCUGCUUCUUUAGAAUUGACAGUCUGGCUUCGUGGUUAAUUCACAGCAUCUGAGGAAUACAUCCAAAGAGGGUGAUACUGUGGCAUGAUGGUACCAGGAUUCCAAGUUCAUUCCAGGUGAAAAUAACAGGAAAAUGAUAAUAACUUUAUAAGGGCCAAAUUACCACUCACAGUGGUACUUCUGAGUGUGUGUUGGAAAAUUACAUCUUUUGUCAAGUGAUAAACUCUGAUUUUUUUUAAAAAAAAAGCAAUGUUCGUGAUCUAGUAAGCACUUUACAAAAGCUAACAUGCUUUAUGAAGGUGUGUACACAGACUGCCUAACCUCACACUGCAGCCUCACUUACUCUAACACACUCUAUGGCCCUCCAUGGAGGAGCAGAAGCUUCCACCCACGGGAUGACUUCAGAUGAACGCUUUUGAUGCUGGGAGCAGCAGCCACCCAUGUCUCCAGAUACCUGUUCCUCUGACUCUGCCUCCUUGGAUUUUACAGUUACCAACAGUUCAUGAUGAUCUUCAGAAAUGUUCACAGUUUCAGAGGAGCCACAUAUUUGAAUGUUUAAAGAAAGCAAUAUUUUGCAAAACGCAAGGAUGAUCCAAGAGAGCCACAGGAGGAUCUAGCAGCCCUUUGUCGGGAAAUGAAAGUAACCAACAAGAUCAGGCCUGGAAAGACCUUCCUGGAUCCCCCAGGACAUGCUCCCUUCUGUGAAGCAGCGGUUCUCAGCCCUUGCUGCUCAUUGAAGUCAACUGGGGUGCUAGAAUAAUACUGAUGCCUGAUGUGCCCAGGCUGGAGUACAGUGGUGUGGUCAUGGCUCACUGCAGCCUUGAUCUCCUGGGCUCAAGUGAUCCUUCUGCUUCAGCCUCCAAAGCGCUAGGAUUACAAGCAUGCACCACUGUGGUGGGCUCUGACCUUUUAACAUAGUUUUAGAUAAUAUGUUAAUUCCUUGCCUCUGAUGGUUACCAGGCAGAUUCUCUUAUUUUCCUUUCUCUCAUACCUGCCAGGAUCUCAUACCUGUGCCAGAGAUUCCUGAGGAAGGAGGGGCAGUGUAUUUUGGAAAAGCUCCCAGGUGAAUCUGAAGUGCAGCCUGGGUUGGGAACCACUGAUGUAGUCCCAGAUUAGUGACUGAAAUGGGUAAUAAGGGAAGCAGUGUUGGCAGCACAUUCUACCAAGCUCAAAGUCUUGACAUGUCCUGGAGCCAGCAGAGGGCAAAGACUUCAUUGCUAAGAGAGAAGCUUUAGUGGGAGAAGAUAAAUAAGUCUGUUUCCAGGCAAAUGUCCCCUUUCUGCUGUCAGCUUCCUGGCUAUUUCUGCCCUGCCUGAGCCUGAGGAUUUAGACAUCACUUUCACGUAAAUGCCAUAAAUGCCAGCUUCCAGGUCUCUCCACACAUUAAUGACAUUGUGGUGAGAAAAGCCACUUGCAAAUGAAGUAAAUCCUUGAAAGAGUCAGACAAUAGUGGGCUUUGUAAGCUCUGCCUUACAGGAGAGCCUGCAGGGGGAUUUUCGGUGAUCUAUGCAGGGAUCAAGCUGCCAUGGCCAAGGCUCUCAGGACAAAGGCCUCAUGGAGUCUUUUGUUUGCCACCGCAUGUGACUUUACUCCUGCAUCUCCUGCAGAGCUCUCCCAGGACAGUUGAGUAAGAGUGGAGAAGCAAUUGGGGUGAACCCCAAGACUCAGCCUGAUCCGUUGAGGGGCUUUGCAGCAUAAAUUACACCUCAGAGCCUGGGGCAAAGGAGCUGUGAGGCAUUUUUCUCUACAUGGGUUAGUCAUUGGCUACCUGGGCUCUCGGUAAGAGUGAUGUGGCUCCAGAGCCCAAGAAAAGCGGCCCCUGCGGUCCUGGGGUGGGGAGCUCUUAGCAGCACAGCACUCAGAAGCUGCGAGAUGGGUGCGCAGAGCUGUGCUAGGGAUCCUGGAGUCUGGGCAAACAGCACUGCAUGUGCUCCACAGGUGAAGCCUUGCCUCCUCCAUCCGUCAGCUCAGCACCCUGUAUGGAAAUGCAAACUGUGACGUGUGCUUCUGCGUUUCCCACCUCUGAUAUGAUAGAUGGCACCGCAAUGCUUUUCUCUUCCUCAGGGCCCAUUUCCAGGCUGGACUGCAGUGGUGUGAUCUCCCCUCACUGCAGCCUCCACCUAAAGUAAUCCUCCCAGGCUAAAGCGAUCCUCCCACUUCCCACCUCAGCCUCCCAAGUAGCUAGGACUACAGGUGC